GUAGGUGAACCUGCGGAAGGAUCAUUAUUGAAUGAACUUGGUGGGUUGUUGCUGGCUCCUUGGGAGCAUGUGCACACUCAUCAUCUUUAUCCAUCCACCUGUGCACCUUUUGUAGUCUUGGAGGUGUCAUAACAUGCGUGUAUAUCUGAGUCCACUUAUGGACUUCAGGAGUGGGGUUUGCCAUGGCUGGCUUACUCUGGGUGGGUUUAUGCGCGUAUACCCUCUGAGUCUAUGUUUUUCAUACACCAUAUUGCAUGUCUUCAGAAUGUAUGAUCAUAGGCCUCUGUGCCUAUAAAACAUAAUACAACUUUCAGCAACGGAUCUCUUGGCUCUC
rnacentral:misc_RNA from 1 species